rnacentral:misc_RNA from 1 species
UCCGUAGGUGAACCUGCGGAGGGAUCAUUACAGAGUUCUCGCCCUCGCGGGUAGAUCUCCCACCCACUGUUAUUGCUACCGUGUUGCUUUGGCGGGCUGCUGGGCCUAGCCCGGCCGCCGGCUCCGGCUGGCGCGCGCCCGCCAGAGGCCCGACAAAUUCUGAUCGUCAGUGUCGUCUGAGUACUAUAUAAUAGUUAAAACUUUCAACAACGGAUCUCUUGGUUCUGGCAUCGAUGAAGAACGCAGCGAAAUGCGAUAAGUAAUGCGAAUUGCAGAAUUCAGUGAGUCAUCGAAUCUUUGAACGCACAUUGCGCCCUGUGGUAUUCCGCAGGGCAUGCCUGUUCGAGCGUCAUUUCAACCCUCAAGCUCUGCUUGGUGUUGGGCCCCGCCCGCUCGCGGCCGGCCCUAAAGACAGUGGCGGCAGCGUCUGGCUCCAAGCGUAGUACAGCUCUCGCUCUGGGGCUAGGCGGUAGCCUGCCAGAACCCCCUUCUAUGGUUGACCUCGGAUCAGGUAGGGAUACCCGCUGAACUUAAGCAUAUCAAUAAGCGGAGGAAAAGAAACCAACAGGGAUUGCCUCAGUAACGGCGAGUGAAGCGGCAACAGCUCAAAUUUGAAAUCUGGCCCUCUCAGGGUCCGAGUUGUAAUUUGGAGAAGAUGCUUCGGGUGCGGCGCCGGUCUAAGUUCCUUGGAACAGGACGUCACAGAGGGUGAGAAUCCCGUACGUGCCCGGUGGCCGCCCCAUGUGAAGCUCUUUCGACGAGUCGAGUUGUUUGGGAAUGCAGCUCAAAAUGGGUGGUAAAUUUCAUCUAAAGCUAAAUACUGGCCAGAGACCGAUAGCGCACAAGUAGAGUGAUCGAAAGAUGAAAAGCACUUUGGAAAGAGAGUUAAACAGUACGUGAAAUUGUUGAAAGGGAAGCGCUUGCAACCAGACUUGCGCGCAGUCGAUCAUCCGGUGCUCGCACCGGUGCACUCGGCCGCGCGCAGGCCAGCAUCGGCCUGGGUGGCUGGACAAAGGCCUCGGGAAUGUGGCUCUCUCCGGGGAGUGUUAUAGCCCGAGGCGCAAUGCAGCCCACCUGGUCCGAGGACCGCGCUCCGGCUAGGAUGCUGGCGUAAUGGUUGCAAGCGACCCGUCUUGAAACACGGACCAAGGAGUCUAACAUCUAUGCGAGUGUUUGGGUGCCAAACCCAUACGCGUAAUGAAAGUGAACGGAGGUGAGAACCCUGAAGGGCGCAUCAUCGACCGAUCCUGAUGUCUUCGGAUGGAUUUGAGUAAGAGCAUGGCUGUUGGGACCCGAAAGAUGGUGAACUAUGCCUGAAUAGGGUGAAGCCAGAGGAAACUCUGGUGGAGGCUCGCAGCGGUUCUGACGUGCAAAUCGAUCGUCAAAUU